rnacentral:rRNA from 1 species
UACAGAGGGUGCGAGCGUUGUCCGGAAUCACUGGGCGUAACGGGCGCGUAGGUGGCGACCCAAGUCUGUGGUGAAAGCUCGACGCUCAACGUCGAGUCGGCCAUAGAUACUGGGUUGCUUGAGCACUGUAGAGGCAGAUGGAAUUCCGGGUGUAGCGGUGGAAUGCGUAGAGAUCCGGAAGAACACCGGUGGCGAAGGCGGUCUGCUGGGCAGUUGCUGACACUGAGGCGCGACAGCGUGGGGAGCAAACAGG